GCCUUCCACCAUUAUUGUGAGACUUUCCCAGCCACGUGGAACUGCAUUUAUGAAGUAGGGACCUGGAAUUGAAGAGACUCCUAAAGGAGAGACAGAAGUUUGAAAGAGCAAGAAGAGUGGAUGUGGAUCCAGACAGAAAAAGAGAACAGCAAAUAUUUGAAAGAGCUUAAGACGUACUCCUCAAGGUACCACAGAUAGAAGCCUUGAGAAGCUUACUUUGGUCAGAAAUUUUGCCUUUGUCUGCAGGCUUCUACCAGUUCGAUUCCAUCUGUGGGUCUUAGGUUUCAGUUACCUGAAGUCAAAUGUGGUCCAAUACACAGACUGGAAUAAGAGACAUUGGAGACUCCAAAAGGUGGGCAGAAUAUUUUCUGGUAGACUGAUAUAUUUCUCCUAAAAAAUUUGGAAAAAUUUUGUGAUGAAGAAGCUACCUGGGCCUGAAGAUAUCUUUUCUGAAGAUGGCCAUCUACAAAGUACACAGAGGAUACCCACCUGUCACCGGAUCUGCCAGCACCUUGAUUGUGGACUUUCUUGUCUCCAGAAUCGUGAGACUUGUUUCUGAUCUGCGUGGGAAAGAAUUCAGUAUUUCUCCAUUUAAUAUGACAUUAGCUAUAGAUUUUUUAUAUGAUAUUAGCUAUAGAUUUUUUAUAGAUGCCUUGCAUUAAAGUGAAGAAGCUUCAUUUUCUUCCUAAUAUUCUGAUUUUUUUAUCAUAGAUAUGUUUUAUCUAAUUUAUUGAAAAAAUAAUUUCAAAAAUGUGUGGCCAGGCACGAUGGCUCACACCUGUAAUCCCAGCACUUU
rnacentral:lncRNA from 10 species